GGCCUCCUGGUGGCUUUCUUUGGGCUGGGUUUUCUUUGUACUGUCUGUAUAGAAAGAGGAGGCAGAGAAACCCUUCCCUCCUUUCACCUCUACUUGGUUUAUAUUGGUAUCAGGAACACAGAG
ensembl:snoRNA